GACGAACGCUGGCGGCGUGCCUAAUACAUGCAAGUCUAACGCUUCUUUCCUCCCGAGUGCUUGCACUCAAUUGGAAAGAGGAGUGGCGGACGGGUGAGUAACACGUGGGUAACCUACCCAUCAGAGGGGGAUAACACUUGGAAACAGGUGCUAAUACCGCAUAACAGUUUAUGCCGCAUGGCAUAAGAGUGAAAGGCGCUUUCGGGUGUCGCUGAUGGAUGGACCCGCGGUGCAUUAGCUAGUUGGUGAGGUAACGGCUCACCAAGGCCACGAUGCAUAGCCGACCUGAGAGGGUGAUCGGCCACACUGGGACUGAGACACGGCCCAGACUCCUACGGGAGGCAGCAGUAGGGAAUCUUCGGCAAUGGACGAAAGUCUGACCGAGCAACGCCGCGUGAGUGAAGAAGGUUUUCGGAUCGUAAAACUCUGUUGUUAGAGAAGAACAAGGACGUUAGUAACUGAACGUCCCCUGACGGUAUCUAACCAGAAAGCCACGGCUAACUACGUG
rnacentral:rRNA from 1 species